rnacentral:rRNA from 1 species
GAUUUCUGGCUCGUUGCCCUAGCCCGCUUGCUUCGGUGGGUGAGUGCUGGUGCAAUCUGCCAUCCUUCCAGAGAGCCGUGAGUACCAUUUACUUGGCCGCUCGCGUGCGAUCUGGAUCAUUUACUUUGAAAAAAUUAGAGUGUUUAAAGCAGGCUUACGCCUUGAAUACAUUAGCAUGGAAUAAUAACAUAGGACUUCGGUUCUAUUUUGUUGGUUUCUAGAACCUUAGUAAUGAUUGAUAGGGAUAGUUGGGGGUGCUAGUAUUCAGCGGCCAGAGGUGAAAUUCUUGGAUUCGCUGAAGACUAACUACUGCGAAAGCAUU